rnacentral:rRNA from 1 species
GAAUAUUGCACAAUGGGGGAAACCCUGAUGCAGCGACGCCGCGUGAGUGAAGAAGUGCUUCGGCAUGUAAAGCUCUAUCAGCAGGGAAGAAGAUGACGGUACCUGACUAAGAAGCACCGGCUAACUACGUGACAGCAGCCGCGGUAAUACGUAGGGGGCAAGCGUUAUCCGGAUUUACUGGGUGUAAAGGGAGCGUAGGUGGUGCGGCAAGUCAGAUGUGAAAACCCGGGGCUCAACCCCGGGACUGCAUUUGAAACUGUCGUGCUAGAGUGCAGGAGAGGUAAGUGGAAUUCCUAGUGUAGCGGUGAAAUGCGUAGAUAUUAGGAGGAACACCAGUGGCGAAGGCGGCUUACUGGACUGUAACUGACACUGAGGCUCGAAAGCGUGGGGAGCAAACAG